rnacentral:rRNA from 1 species
GACGAACGCUGGCGGCGUGCUUAACACAUGCAAGUUGAACGGUGAAGCGCCUUCCUUUUUGGUGGGUGUGGAUGAGUGGCGAACGGGUGAGUAACACGUGAGUAACCUGCCCCCUUCUUCUGGAUAACCGCAUGAAAGUGUGGCUAAUACGGGAUAUUCUGGGUCUGUCGCAUGAUGGGUCUGGGAAAGAUAUUGUUUCGGUGGGGGAUGGGCUCGCGGCCUAUCAGCUUGUUGGUGGGGUGAUGGCCUACCAAGGCGGUGACGGGUAGCCGGCCUGAGAGGGUGGACGGUCACACUGGGACUGAGACACGGCCCAGACUCCUACGGGAGGCAGCAGUGGGGAAUAUUGCACAAUGGGCGCAAGCCUGAUGCAGCGACGCCGCGUGAGGGAUGGAGGCCUUCGGGUUGUGAACCUCUUUCGCCAGUGAAGCAGGCCUGCCUCGUUUGUGGGUGGGUUGACGGUAGCUGGAUAAGAAGCGCCGGCUAACUACGUG